rnacentral:rRNA from 1 species
UGCUCCAUCACACCGCAUGGUGUGUUGGGAAAGCCUUUGCGGCAUGGGAUGGGGUCGCGUCCUAUCAGCUUGAUGGCGGGGUAACGGCCCACCAUGGCUUCGACGGGUAGCCGGCCUGAGAGGGCGACCGGCCACAUUGGGACUGAGAUACGGCCCAGACUCCUACGGGAGGCAGCAGUGGGGAAUAUUGCACAAUGGGCGCAAGCCUGAUGCAGCGACGCCGCGUGAGGGAUGGAGGCCUUCGGGUUGUAAACCUCUUUUGUUAGGGAGCAAGGCAUUUUUUGUUGAGUGUACCUUUCGAAUAAGCACCGGCUAACUACGUGCCAGCAGCCGCGGUAAUACGUAGGGUGCAAGCGUUAUCCGGAAUUAUUGGGCGUAAAGGGCUCGUAGGCGGUUCGUCGCGUCCGGUGUGAAAGUCCAUCGCUUAACGGUGGAUCCGCGCCGGGUACGGGCGGGCUUGAGUGCGGUAGGGGAGACUGGAAUUCCCGGUGUAACGGUGGAAUGUGUAGAUAUCGGGAAGAACACCAAUGGCGAAGGCAGGUCUCUGGGCCGUUACUGACGCUGAGGAGCGAAAGCGUGGGGAGCAAACAGGAUUAGAUACCCUGGUAGUCCACGCCGUAAACGAUGAGUGCUAAGUGUUAGAGGGUUUCCGCCCUUUAGUGCUGCAGCUAACGCAUUAAGCACUCCGCCUGGGGAGUACGGCCGCAAGGCUGAAACUCAAAGGAAUUGACGGGGGCCCGCACAAGCGGUGGAGCAUGUGGUUUAAUUCGAAGCAACGCGAAGAACCUUACCAGGUCUUGACAUCCUCUGACAACCCUAGAGAUAGGGCUUUCCCCUUCGGGGGACAGAGUGACAGGUGGUGCAUGGUUGUCGUCAGCUCGUGUCGUGAGAUGUUGGGUUAAGUCCCGCAACGAGCGCAACCCUUGAUCUUAGUUGCCAGCAUUCAGUUGGGCACUCUAAGGUGACUGCCGGUGACAAACCGGAGGAAGGUGGGGAUGACGUCAGAUCAUCAUGCCCCUUACGUCCAGGGCUUCACGCAUGCUACAAUGGCCGGUACAGCGGGAUGCGACAUGGCGACAUGGAGCGGAUCCCUGAAAACCGGUCUCAGUUCGGAUUGGAGUCUGCAACCCGACUCCAUGAAGGCGGAGUCGCUAGUAAUCGCGGAUCAGCAACGU